rnacentral:rRNA from 1 species
GACGAACGCUGGCGGCGUGCUUAACACAUGCAAGUCGAGCGGUAAGGCCCUUCGGGGUACACGAGCGGCGAACGGGUGAGUAACACGUGGGUGAUCUGCCUCGCACUCUGGGAUAAGCCUGGGAAACUGGGUCUAAUACCGGAUAUGACUUCUGGUCGCAUGGCCGGGGGUGGAAAGAUUUAUCGGUGCGAGAUGAGCCCGCGGCCUAUCAGCUUGUUGGUGGGGUAAUGGCCUACCAAGGCGACGACGGGUAGCCGGCCUGAGAGGGCGACCGGCCACACUGGGACUGAGACACGGCCCAGACUCCUACGGGAGGCAGCAGUGGGGAAUAUUGCACAAUGGGCGGAAGCCUGAUGCAGCGACGCCGCGUGAGGGAUGACGGCCUUCGGGUUGUAAACCUCUUUCGACAGGGACGAAGCGCAAGUGACGGUACCUGUAGAAGAAGCACCGGCCAACUACGUG